AAGUCGAGCGGUAGCACAGAGAGCUUGCUCUCGGGUGACGAGCGGCGGACGGGUGAGUAAUGUCUGGGAAACUGCCUGAUGGAGGGGGAUAACUACUGGAAACGGUAGCUAAUACCGCAUAACGUCGCAAGACCAAAGUGGGGGACCUUCGGGCCUCAUGCCAUCAGAUGUGCCCAGAUGGGAUUAGCUAGUAGGUGGGGUAACGGCUCACCUAGGCGACGAUCCCUAGCUGGUCUGAGAGGAUGACCAGCCACACUGGAACUGAGACACGGUCCAGACUCCUACGGGAGGCAGCAGUGGGGAAUAUUGCACAAUGGGCGCAAGCCUGAUGCAGCCAUGCCGCGUGUGUGAAGAAGGCCUUCGGGUUGUAAAGCACUUUCAGCGGGGAGGAAGGCGUUAAGGUUAAUAACCUUGGCGAUUGACGUUACCCGCAGAAGAAGCACCGGCUAACUCCGUGCCAGCAGCCGCGGUAAUACGGAGGGUGCAAGCGUUAAUCGGAAUUACUGGGCGUAAAGCGCACGCAGGCGGUCUGUCAAGUCGGAUGUGAAAUCCCCGGGCUCAACCUGGGAACUGCAUUCGAAACUGGCAGGCUAGAGUCUUGUAGAGGGGGGUAGAAUUCCAGGUGUAGCGGUGAAAUGCGUAGAGAUCUGGAGGAAUACCGGUGGCGAAGGCGGCCCCCUGGACAAAGACUGACGCUCAGGUGCGAAAGCGUGGGGAGCAAACAGGAUUAGAUACCCUGGUAGUCCACGCCGUAAACGAUGUCGAUUUGGAGGUUGUGCCCUUGAGGCGUGGCUUCCGGAGCUAACGCGUUAAAUCGACCGCCUGGGGAGUACGGCCGCAAGGUUAAAACUCAAAUGAAUUGACGGGGGCCCGCACAAGCGGUGGAGCAUGUGGUUUAAUUCGAUGCAACGCGAAGAACCUUACCUGGUCUUGACAUCCACAGAACUUUCCAGAGAUGGAUUGGUGCCUUCGGGAACUGUGAGACAGGUGCUGCAUGGCUGUCGUCAGCUCGUGUUGUGAAAUGUUGGGUUAAGUCCCGCAACGAGCGCAACCCUUAUCCUUUGUUGCCAGCGGUUCGGCCGGGAACUCAAAGGAGACUGCCAGUGAUAAACUGGAGGAAGGUGGGGAUGACGUCAAGUCAUCAUGGCCCUUACGACCAGGGCUACACACGUGCUACAAUGGCAUAUACAAAGAGAAGCGACCUCGCGAGAGCAAGCGGACCUCAUAAAGUAUGUCGUAGUCCGGAUUGGAGUCUGCAACUCGACUCCAUGAAGUCGGAAUCGCUAGUAAUCGUAGAUCAGAAUGCUACGGUGAAUACGUUCCCGGGCCUUGUACACACCGCCCGUCACACCAUGGGAGUGGGUUGCAAAAGAA
rnacentral:rRNA from 1 species